rnacentral:rRNA from 1 species
GUCCACGGCCAUAUCACCCUGAAUGCGCCCAAUCUUGUCUGAUCUCGGAAGCUAAGCAGGGUUGAGCCUGGCUAGUACUUGGAUGGGAGAAGGGAACAUUAAACCUGGGAAGACCUAGAAGAAAGGGCU